rnacentral:SRP_RNA from 1 species
UACUAACCGGGGAGUCAGCGGUGCCUUGUACCCGCAAUCCGCUAUAGCGGGGGCGAUAUACCCGAUAAGGGCUUUGUUUGUGUCGCCGCGCCGUAAGAGCUUUGUUGAGAAGCGGGUCCUCGCGCAAUUCGCACCUGUGAAAUAUGUCAGGUGAGGAAUCAAGCAGCAUUAAGCAGAUAUGCGGAUGUGCCGCGAGGGUGCCUGUUUUGAGGAGAUCUUCC